rnacentral:rRNA from 1 species
UUCGUCCAAGUGAAGCAGAGGACAGUGGCGGACGGGUGAGUAACGCGUGAGGAACCUGCCUUUAAGAGGGGGAUAACAGUCGGAAACGGCUGCUAAUACCGCAUAAAGCAUUGAAUUCGCAUGUUUCGAUGCCAAAGGAGCAAUCCGCUUUAGAUGAGCUCGCGUCUGAUUAGCUAGUUGGUGGGGUAACGGCCCACCAAGGCGACGAUCAGUAGCCGGACUGAGAGGUUGAACGGCCACAUUGGGACUGAGACACGGCCCAGACUCC